CCGGGGCGACGCGGAGGUGGGAUUCGGAGCCGGGAGCCCGCACCUGCGCCCCGCACCUGCGCCUGGGAGUUGCCCUAGAGGCCAGGCGGGCCUUGAACGGAACUUCAGAAAGGCCACGCACAAUUAACAUGAAAUGUUAAGAUUGCCCAAAAAAGGGUUACCUAGAUUUGAUCAAACCCAAGAUGAAGAAACCUACCUGGAAAACUUGGCAGUCCAGAGAAAUGCUUCUGCUUUCUUUGAAAAAUAUGAUCGGAGUGAAGUCCAAGAGUUGCUGACCACCACCCUGGUCAGCUGGUUGUCCGCCAAAGACGACGUCCGCUCUCAGCUGGACCUGCCGUGUGGAAUCAUGAGCCAGAUGAACAAUGUGGGUUUCUCCACCGCAAUCCUGCUGACCCCCACGGACCCGACGGCUCUCUUGGACUACAGAGAAGUCCAUCAAAUCAUACGGGAACUGGCCGUCGGGAUUUACUGCCUGAACCAAAUCCCCUCAAUCAGUUUAGAAGCCAACUACGACCAGAGCUCCUCCUGCCAGCUGCCUCCGGCUUACUACGAUACCCGAGUUGGGCAAAUUCUGAUCGCCGUGGACUACAUGCUGAAGGCGCUGUGGCACGGGCUCUACAUGCCCAAGGAGAAGCGGGCCAGGUUCUCUGAGCUGUGGCGCACUGUCGUGGACAUUGACCCGGACGGGAAGCCGCAAACGCACAAAGACAUUUUCGCGGAGUUCAGCGCGGCAGGUUUGGUUGAUAUUACUAAAGAUCCAGACUUUAAUGGAAUCUAUGAUGAAGACAUGAAUGAAGAUCCAACAUAUGAUCCCAAUAGCCCUGAAGAAAAGGCUGUUUUUAUGAAAUAUGCUGAAAACAUUAUGCUAAAGUUGACAUUCAGUACCACACAAGUUCAACAGUAUGAAAAUGUCUUUAUAUUUGAAACAGCCUAUUGGCUUACUAACGCUAUAAAAUAUAAUCAGGAUUAUCUUGAUAUUUGUACCUACCAGAGGCUACAGCAAAGGUUAUAUCUUCAGAAAAAGGUUAUUCAAAAACACUUUGAGAAGAAAAAAGAAAUCAGAAAAGGGAUAGGAUACCUAAAGCUAAUAUGUUUUCUGACUCCAUUUCUACUGAGUUUAAAAAAGAAGAUGAAAGUUCCAUAUUUAAGUAGUCUACUUCAGCCUUUUUCAGAUGACAAGGUCAAGACAGAGCGAGAAUUGCCUCCAUUUAUUUAUGGACGAGACUUUAAAUGCCAGCACUUUCACUACAAAGAGGAUCAAUAUUUUCAUGUUCAUGGAGGAAUUGAAUUUGAUAUCAGCACACCUUCAAUUGAGAAUGCUUUGGAAGAUUUUAAGAACAAUUUAGAAAAAAUACGGGAUUGUGCUGCUAAUACAUUUGCAGAAGAUUCAGGAUACAAAGAAUAUUACUCGAUACCAGUCAUGGAACUUAAUGGAAAAAGCUACUAUGUGAUCUGUUUUGAACUUGAAACCUUCUAUCAUCAGCUCUAUAAAACAAAGUGGUGGGGAGCCAUAAAUGAAAUCGUGAAUGUUCUGAAACCGAAAAGACUUCCACUAACAGAUGCUCAAUUACAUGAACAAUUUAAGAAAAAAUUUGGAUUUAAAAAAGCUAUGAAAUGCAAGAGCAUCCCGUUUGGUAUGAAGUCUGCUGUUGAAAGAGGAUUAUCUGCAGUUUUCCAUACAUUUAGCCGUAAAACCUCAAGCUCGACCAUCAAUGUUUCAGAUGAGGCCGGUUACACUAUUUUCCAUCAUGCUGCUCUACACAACAGAGUCGCCGUGAUAUGUCAACUGUGCAACGCCAACUUCAACGUCAACCAGAGACGCUAUAUUAUGUUUAACCAAGAGUCAUCAAAAAUGGACACGAAAAGAGAAAGAAACGGCCCGACGCCCCUGCACCUGGCCGCGCAGGCCUGCGCCCUGGAGGCCACCGUGUGCCUGCUGAGCUUCCGCGCAGACCUCACGCUGGCCGCGGGCCGGGGCUGGCUGCCCAUCCACUUCGCCGCCUUCUACGAUAACAUCUGCGUGGCCGCCGCACUCUGCAGACGGGACCCCGCGCAGCUCGAGGCGGAGGCAGCCGCUGGGAAUCAGUGCACCCCGCUGCUACUCGCUGCCACCUCGGGGGCCCUGGACACGAUCCGCUACCUGUUGUCCCUCGGUGCUAACUGGAGGAAAACCGAUACUAAGGGCAAUAAUAUAAUUCACCUGUCGGUGCUCAGCUUCCACACGGAGGUCCUCAAGCACAUUAUAGCGCUGAGCAUCCCUGAGCUCCCGGUGUGGGCGACCCUGGUCGAAAUGUUGCAGUGUGAGAGCUAUAAACGAAGGAUGAUGGCUGUGAUGUCCUUGGAAGUAAUUUGUUUAGCAAAUGAUGGAUACUGGAAGUGUAUUUUGGAUGCAGGUACCAUCCCUGCCUUAAUCAAUCUGUUAAAAGGCUCCAAAAUAAAAUUGCAGUGCAAAACAGUUGGGUUACUGAGUAACCUGUCGACCCGGGCCAGUGUGGUGUGUGCCGUCGUGGCGGCCGGAGGCGUGCCAGCUCUCCUUGGCUUACUGGCCUCCGACGAGCCUGAGCUGCAUUCUCGAUGUGCUGUCAUUUUAUAUGACGUUGCCCAGCUGGAAAACAAGGAUGUGAUUGCCAGAUAUAAUGGAAUCCCAACUCUGAUAAGUCUUUUGAAGUUAAACAUAGAAAAUGUGCUAAUAAAUGUAAUGAACUGUAUACGGGUAUUAUGUAUGGGAAAUGAACAAAAUCAAAGAGCAGUGAGAGACCAUAAAGGCAUCCAAUAUCUUAUCACAUUUCUGAGUUCUGAUUCAGAUGUGUUGAAAGCUGUAUCUUCUGCUACAAUUGCUGAGGUUGCACGUGACAAUAGGAGUGUUCAGGAUGCUAUGGCGGCGGAAGGAGCCAUCCCUCCACUGGUGGCUCUUUUUAAAGGGAAACAACUUAGUGUCCAAGUGAAGGGUGCAAUGGCUGUGGAAUCACUGGCAAGUUAUAACCCAUCUAUACAGAGGGCAUUUCUGGAGGAAUCAUUAAGUAAAUAUCUUUUAAAACUUCUCAAGGCAUUUCAAAUAGAUGUUAAGGAACAAGGAGCUGUAGCCCUUUGGGCCUUGGCAGGACAAACCCUGAAACAACAAAAGUAUAUGGCGGAACAGAUUGGAUACAACUUCAUAAUAAGCAUGCUUUUGUCACCAUCUGCUAAAAUGCAGUAUGUUGGAGGUGAAGCAGUCAUAGCCCUAAGUAAGGAUAGCAGGAUGCAUCAAAAUCAAAUAUGUGAAGGGAACGGAAUUGCACCGUUGAUUCGCUUACUGAGGAUUAGUAAAAUAGCCGAAGGCACACUUCUGAGUGUCAUCAGAGCAGUGGGGUCCAUCUGUAUUGGUGUCGCCCAUACAAGUAAUCCUAUCAGUCAACAAUUCGUUGUACAAGAAAAUGCCUUCCCAGUACUUCUUCAACUACUGAGAAAUCACCCUUCUCCUAACAUCAGGGUUGAAGUGGCAUUUUCCUUGGCAUGCAUUGUCCUAAGGAAUGAUCUGUUACAGAAUGAAUUACAAGAAAACGAAGGAUUUAAAUAUGCUGAUGUCCUCUAUCUUCUUCACUCACAAGAUAAGGAUAUUUGUUUAAGGGCAGGCUACGCAUUAACCCUUUUUGCCUUCAAUAAUCGCCUUCAACAAUACUUGAUAUUGGAAAGUGGAGUAAUGACCAUAUCAAUUUUUGAACCUUUUCUUGAAUCAACAAUUGAAACAGAGAAGGCAAUGGCAGCAUUUCAGAUUAUCAUCUUAGCUAAAGUCAUUAUAGAUGUGGACCAUAUUACGUUGUCUGCGAGAGGUGUUACUAUUUUAGUUGCUAGUCUGUAUUCAGUUCAUUCCACUACUAUUGUCCUGACAGGGAAUUUGAUAGCCAGCCUGGCUCAUUCCAGAGCUGGUAUUCCAGAAGCAUUUACCACAUUAGGGACAAUCCAACGGCUUUGCUAUCAUUUGUACUCAGGGAAAGAAGAGGUCCGCGCGGCCUGCUCCUGCGCCCUGGGCUACUUAACUUACAACGCAGCCGCUUUCCGCCUCCUCCUCAAGGAGUGCCGCAGGCGGCCGGGUCAGUUCCUCCGCCUCACAAGGAACAUCAGCAGGGACGCGAGCGUUAACCCGGCCUUCCUAAGGGAGUUUCAGUGGCAGCAGCAAGUGGGACUUCCCUCCUUAAGGAGGGAGAAUCCAUCCUGAGUGCCCACUGCCAGAGCCAGUGUGAGUUCUGACCGGCAACGGCACCGCGUGUGCAGCAGGCGUACAACCAGGGCUUGCGGAUCCUGUUUGGCCAAGUCUAGAGAGAAAUGGGGGACCAUCCGUAACUCCUGUCUUUAAAAAAGGGUAAAGCAGCACACUUUUCCCCAGUGAUACGCUAGUUUUAUAUAUACUUGGUAGAUGUUGGCUGAGCGAUUUAGACUUGCAGGAUCGGAGUACAGACCUUACGGAGUUACUCACCGUUUCCUAUUAGACAGGGAAAGAGCACCAAAGAAAAUUAAUACCUAAAAUUCAACCAAGAGAUUCUUUGACUUUAAUACCUCCUAUAACUAACUUCACGGGACUCUUCAAAACAACAAAAAAGACCACUGUUUCUCACAAUAUUUUUUCCUU